ACAAUGUUUUCAAAUCGGCUGGUCGGUCCUGGUCGCCUAGGGACCGACCAGGCGAUUAAUCGCGAUUAGUCGACGACCAGGUCGACCUGGUCGAGCCUGAACUCCAGCUUCUUGUCCAAAACUCCAUAUUCUUCUUGCUGAAUCCCUGCUGCUGAAA